CCUGUACUUGGUGUUACUGCGAAGGGGGGACGGAGAAGGCUAUGUUGGCCGGGCGACGGUUGUCCCGGUUUAAGCGUGUAGGCUGGUUUUCCAGGCAAAUCCGGAAAAUCAAGGCUGAGGCGUGAUGACGAGGCACUACGGUGCUGAAGCAACAAAUGCCCUGCUUCCAGGAAAAGCCUCUAAGCAUCAGGUAACAUCAAAUCGUACCCCAAACCGACACAGGUGGUCAGGUAGAGAAUACCAAGGCGCUUGAGAGAACUCGGGUGAAGGAACUAGGCAAAAUGGUGCCGUAACUUCGGGAGAAGGCACGCUGAUAUGUAGGUGAAGUCCCUUGCGGAUGGAGCUGAAAUCAGUCGAAGAUACCAGCUGGCUGCAACUGUUUAUUAAAAACACAGCACUGUGCAAACACGAAAGUGGACGUAUACGGUGUGACGCCUGCCCGGUGCCGGAAGGUUAAUUGAUGGGGUUAGCGGUAACGCGAAGCUCUUGAUCGAAGCCCCGGUAAACGGCGGCCGUAACUAUAACGGUCCUAAGGUAGCGAAAUUCCUUGUCGGGUAAGUUCCGACCUGCACGAAUGGCGUAAUGAUGGCCAGGCUGUCUCCACCCGAGACUCAGUGAAAUUGAACUCGCUGUGAAGAUGCAGUGUACCCGCGGCAAGACGGAAAGACCCCGUGAACCUUUACUAUAGCUUGACACUGAACAUUGAGCCUUGAUGUGUAGGAUAGGUGGGAGGCUUUGAAGUGUGGACGCCAGUCUGCAUGGAGCCGACCUUGAAAUACCACCCUUUAAUGUUUGAUGUUCUAACGUUGGCCCGUUAUCCGGGUUGCGGACAGUGUCUGGUGGGUAGUUUGACUGGGGCGGUCUCCUCCUAAAGAGUAACGGAGGAGCACGAAGGUUGGCUAAUCCUGGUCGGACAUCAGGAGGUUAGUGCAAUGGCAUAAGCCAGCUUGACUGCGAGCGUGACGGCGCGAGCAGGUGCGAAAGCAGGUCAUAGUGAUCCGGUGGUUCUGAAUGGAAGGGCCAUCGCUCAACGGAUAAAAGGUACUCCGGGGAUAACAGGCUGAUACCGCCCAAGAGUUCAUAUCGACGGCGGUGUUUGGCACCUCGAUGUCGGCUCAUCACAUCCUGGGGCUGAAGUAGGUCCCAAGGGUAUGGCUGUUCGCCAUUUAAAGUGGUACGCGAGCUGGGUUUAGAACGUCGUGAGACAGUUCGGUCCCUAUCUGCCGUGGGCGCUGGAGAACUGAGGGGGGCUGCUCCUAGUACGAGAGGACCGGAGUGGACGCAUCACUGGUGUUCGGGUUGUCAUGCCAAUGGCACUGCCCGGUAGCUAAAUGCGGAAGAGAUAAGUGCUGAAAGCAUCUAAGCACGAAACUUGCCCCGAGAUGAGUUCUCCCUGACUCCCUGAGAGUCCUGAAGGAACGUUGAAGACGACGACGUUGAUAGGCCGGGUGUGUAAGCGCAGCGAUGCGUUGAGCUAACCGGUACUAAUGAACCGUGAGGCUUAACCUU
rnacentral:rRNA from 1 species